GUCCUGUCGGGGGCUUGAUGGAAGAAGUCCCUGCGCUGGCUGAUGGGGGUCUCUGAGGGGGCUCGUCCGUGGAGCUGGGGUGAAGGAGAAUCGGAACCGGUGUCUGAAUCCGUUGGGAUGGACGCGCUGAGGGUGGAGGUGCCGGAGAUCGAGCUGGACUGAGGCCGCGACAGUCUUCCUUACGGCGUCGGAGGAAAGCCUCGACGUGCUGAAUUCCGACGGGGAAAAUUCCGGCUCCCGGAUGGGUCCUCGGGGAACGAAGGGGGUCAGGAUGCUUGAAGGAGACUGGUCGAUGCCAAGGUUACGAAGGGCCGUCCUGAGGUAAACUCUAACCUGAUUAGAUUUUGCGGGGGAAUCACCAUCAUUGAACCAGGCUUCUUCCAAAUGCUUCCGCCACACCGAAUUCAUCGUCAGGGAAGAGGGAAUUUGGCUAAGGAAGCGGUGGUCUGGUCUCUACUCGGGAAAACAAUAAAAAUACUGCCAACCAGAA